rnacentral:rRNA from 1 species
GACGAACGCUGUCGGCGUGCCUAACACAUGCAAGUCGAACGGGACCGGGGGCAACUUCGGUUCAGCGGCGGACGGGUGCGUAACACGUGAGGAACAUGACCUUCGGCGGGGGAUAGCCGGCCCAACGGCCGGGUAAUACCGCGUACGACCAUUCGGGGACAUCCCUGGCUGGUGAAAGCAGCAAUGCGCCGAUGGAGUGCCUCGCGGCCGAUCAGCUAGUUGGUGGGGUAACGGCCUACCAAGGCAACGACGGGUAGCUGGUCUGAGAGGAUGGCCAGCCACAUUGGGGCUGAGACACGGCCCAGACUCCUACGGGAGGCAGCAGUGGGGAAUAUUGCGCAAUGGACGAAAGUCUGACGCAGCGACGCCGCGUGUGGGAUGAAGGUCUUCGGAUUGUAAACCACUGUCGGGAGGGACGAAUACGCCGCAAGGCGGGUGACGGUACCUCCAAAGGAAGCACCGGCUAACUCCGUGCCAGCAGCCGCGGUAAUACGGAGGGUGCGAGCGUUGUCCGGAAUCACUGGGCGUAAAGUGCGCGUAGGCGGCCUGAUAAGUAGGGGGUGAAAUCCUGCGGCUUAACCGCAGGGCUGCCUUCUAAACUGUCAGGCUCGAGCACAGUAGAGGCAGGUGGAAUUCCCGGUGUAGCGGUGGAAUGCGUAGAGAUCGGGAAGAACAUCAUUGGCGAAAGGCGGCCUGCUGGGCUGUUGCUGACGCUGAGGCGCGACAGCGUGGGGAGCAAACAGGAUUAGAUACCCUGGUAGUCCACGCCGUAACGAUGGGCACUAGGCGUCGGGGGGAGCGACCCUCCCGGUGCCGUCGCUACGCAGUAAGUGCCCGCUGGGAGUACGGCGCAGGCUGAN